CUCUUAAGGUCAUUGCACGUGGAAAAAUUUUAGUAGUAAUCGUAAGGUCAUAAGCGAAUUGAUCAACUACAAUCAAUUAUUUUUAGGCUGUAAGGAGACUAAUUGAUUCUGAUUGGUCAAUUUGUUUAUAAUCUUACAAUUACAAUUAAAAUUUUUUACGUGCAAUGGCCUUAAGGGCUGCCGCACACAAAUUUCCAUAAUCGUAACAGUAAGACGUAAACUUAAGCCAAUAGGCCAAUCAACAUAUUGCUUUAAGUCUAAAUAAUUUGUAUAUUAAUGUUGGGCUCGUGCAAAUAAUGGGUAGCACAUCUAUAAUGCAUCUAACCAAUGAUAUAUGUAAAGUCAAUAAAGAAACUAGUAGAAACCAGUGGAUUUGACGAAAUAAAGAUUUAUAUAAAGAUAAAUAAGUCAUAUAAAGAUAAAAUGUUAUUUAAAAGUGACGGGUAAAAUAAGUAUAUUAGUCUGUAGGAAGAUAUUUAGGAUUUCAUUGAUUCAAUCUUAUAUUGUAUUCGUAAGUAUUUUGAAAGUAAAAUAGCUAUUAUACAAAAUAAAUUUAUGGAAUAAAUAAAUAUGAGU